rnacentral:sRNA from 1 species
AUUUUUGCUCCUAAAUCCCAAACCCUAAAAUCUAAUCCCUAAACCCUAAACCCUAAACCCUAACGCUAAACCCUAACUCUAAACCCUAACCCUACUCAUAUUUCACCCCGAAAUGCUAACCUAGAUUCUUCUUGCUCUACAAAGCUUUGAUGGUGUAGCCUAAGUCUGUAUGAUUUUUG